UAUUAUUAUUAUUAUUAUUAUUAUUUUGUAUUUUCUGCAGAAAUGGGGUUUGGUCAUGUUACCCAGGCUGGUCUCAAGCUCCUGGGAUCAAGUGAUCUGUCCGCCUUGGCCUCCCAAAGUGCUGGGAUUACAGCGGGGAGCCACUGCGCCCAGCCCAGCCAGCACGAUUCUGACCCAGAGGGUUUAGAAGUUGCUUAGACAGAUCUGCUCCUGUAAGUUCACAGAAUUCCUCUGGCUACUGCUGUCCCUUUUUUUCCUGAGUCUUGUUUGCUGAAAUCUUCUUGAGAUUCUGUGAGACAAUAGCCCCUAUUUCUUCCAGUAAAUUACUCUUUUUCUUCCCCUUUAGACAGCCAGUGCUGGUUUCUGUUACAUGUAAACAAAAAGGAUUUUAUUUUUUAUUUUUUUAGGCGAGUCAAGUGAAGCAGUGGGAGACGGAGGACAAAAAGAAUUUUGACUAAGGCAAUAAAUAUAUUAUACAAGUGAAGUAUUUCCCAAAUUGUAUUCUGUGAAAUGCUGUGUUCUCAAAUGUUAACAAGUUCCAUACAAGAACCAUUUAUUUCUAAAUUCUAAAGUCACAUUCAUAUUAUGAAUUAUAUUAAACAUAUAUAGUUACUUUUAUUAUACCUAAUAAUCUGUCUUUAUAAAAGUGUUUACCCAAAAAUGCCAGCAGAUUCCAUGAGAAACUACCUGUACUACAAUGAUCGUCAAACUUUGGUGCAUACAUGACAGAAUCAACUGGAGGGCUUGUUAAAGGAUUGCUGAGUCAAACCCCUAGUUUCAGCAGGUUUGUGGUGGGGCCUGAGAAUUUACAUUUCUUUUUUUUUUUUUUAGACGGAGUCUCGCUCUGUUGCCCAGACUGGAGUGCAGUGGCGCGAUCUUGGCUCACUGCAACCUCCGCCUCCUGGGUUCAAGCGAUUCUUCUGCCUCAGCCUCCUGAGUAGCUGGGACUACAGGUGCCCGCCACCAUGCUCAGCUAAUUUUUGGAUUUUUAGUAGAGACGGGGUUUUACCAUAUUGGCCAGGCUGGUCUCGAACUCCUGACCUUGUGACCCACCCACCUCGGCCUCCCAAAUUGCUGGGAUUACAGGCAAGAGCCACCGCGCCCUGCCGAGAAUUUGCAUUUCUAACAAGUUCCCAGGUGAUGCUGACACUGCUGGCUCAUGGAACCACUGCUGUAGUAUUUUCCAAAUUAUCCUGAUUCUAAGAACCACCUAUGACCUGUGCUGUUUUUUCUGUGGUUACUGGCUCAUGUCACAUAAAUUCUUUUAAGAUUCAAACAUGUUUGUGAUAUUACUCAGUAUUUACAUCUUGCUUUUACUGCAGCAUGACAGAAAAAUUAACCACAGGUAUAUCAUAACAAAAAGACCAUGAGUUACCAUUUUCACAAAGUUCAGAUGUAUUUAAAUUAGCCUAUUUAAUCUUUUUUUGGUUGUUGUUGAGAUGGAGUCUCACUCUGUCUCUCAGGCUGGAGUACAGUGGCACGAUCUCAGCUCACUGCAACCUCUGCCUCCCAGGUUCAAGUGAUUCUCCUGCCUCAGCCUCCCGAAUAGCGGGGAUUACAGGUGCCCACCACCACACAUGGCUAAUUUUGGUAUUUUUAGUAGAGAUGGGGUUUUGCCAUGUUAGCCAGGCUGGUCUUGAACUCCUGACCUCAGGUGAUCCGCCUGCCUCGGCCUCUCAAAGUGCUGGGAUUACAGGCAUGAGCCAUCGUGCCCAGCCUAUGGUACACCUUUACUGAGGAAACAAUUCAGGAACAUCACUCUUAGUAAGGCAAUUGUUGAUUAUAAGUCAAAAAAACACUAUCAUGUACAAAUUCAGGGGAUUUUGCAUACCUUGUUUUUUUGGUUACAAAUAUGCAAAAUUAAAGAUGUUUGCUAAUACUUGUUUCCAAUUUUUAAACUUUUCAAGUGUUGCACUGUUAAUAAUGUUAAAAUAAAAGGCAUUUGACUUAGUA
rnacentral:antisense_RNA from 1 species